GGGGAGCAUCCAAAAGAUGAGAUGCUACCUGAUACAAUCUUCCUACAGAAAUCUCUGUAGUUUCCUACUUGUAAUACUGAGCAUGUUCUGCAAGUCUCAUAUAUACAGAGACAUGA